rnacentral:rRNA from 1 species
GAUGAACGCUGGCGGCGUGCCUAAUACAUGCAAGUCGAGCGAACAGACGAGGGCUUGCUCCUUUGACGUUAGCGGCGGACGGGUGAGUAACACGUAGGUAACCUACCUAUAAGACUGGGAUAACUUCGGGAAACCGGAGCUAAUACCGGAUAAUAUUUCGAACCGCAUGGUUCGAUAGUGAAAGAUGGCUUUGCUAUCACUUAUAGAUGGACCUGCGCCGUAUUAGCUAGUUGGUAAGGUAACGGCUUACCAAGGCAACGAUACGUAGCCGACCUGAGAGGGUGAUCGGCCACACUGGAACUGAGACACGGUCCAGACUCCUACGGGAGGCAGCAGUAGGGAAUCUUCCGCAAUGGGCGAAAGCCUGACGGAGCAACGCCGCGUGAGUGAUGAAGGUCUUCGGAUCGUAAAACUCUGUUAUUAGGGAAGAACAAACGUGUAAGUAACUGUGCACGUCUUGACGGUACCUAAUCAGAAAGCCACGGCUAACUACGUG